rnacentral:rRNA from 1 species
AACGUAGGAGCCAAGCGUUAUCCGAAUUCACUGGGCGUAAAGCGCAUGUAGGCGGCUUGAUAAGUUGGAUGUGAAAUCUCCUGGCUCAACUGGGAGGGGACGUUCAAUACUGUCGAGCUUGAGGGCAGCAGAGGGAGGUGGAAUUCCCGGUGUAGUGGUGAAAUGCGUAGAUAUCGGGAGGAACACCAGUGGCGAAAGCGGCCUCCUGGGCUGCACCUGACGCUCAGAUGCGAAAGCUAGGGGAGCGAACGGG